UGACUUGUAAGGUUUCAGGUCUGUUAUGGU
rnacentral:piRNA from 1 species